rnacentral:rRNA from 1 species
AGAGUUUGAUCCUGGCUCAGAACGAACGCUGGCGGCAGGCUUAACACAUGCAAGUUGAACGGGAACAUACGAUAGCUUGCUAUAGUAUGUGAGAGUGGCGCACGGGUGAGUAAUACAUGGGAACAUACCUUAAAGUGGGGGAUAACUUCUGGAAACGGAUGCUAAUACCGCAUAUACCCUGAGGGGGAAAGAUUUAUCGCUUUAAGAUUGGCCCAUGGCAGAUUAGGUAGUUGGUGGGGUAAAGGCCUACCAAGCCGACGAUCUGUAGCUGGUCUGAGAGGACGAUCAGCCACAUUGGGACUGAGACACGGCCCAGACUCCUACGGGAGGCAGCAGUGAGGAAUAUUGGGCAAUGGGGGCAACCCUGACCCAGCCAUGCCGCGUGAGUGAAGAAGGUUUUCGAAUUGUAAAGCUCUUUCGGAUGUGACGAUGAUGACGGUAGCAUCUAAAGAAGCCCCGGCAAACUUCGUGCCAGCAGCCGCGGUAAUACGAAGGGGGCGAGCGUUGUUCGGAAUUACUGGGCGUAAAGGGUGUGUAGGUGGACGUGUAAGAUAGCGGUGAAAUGCCGGAGCUCAACUUCGGAAUUGCCAUUAUAACUAUGCGUCUAGAAUUAUAGAGAGGAUAGCGGAAUACCCAGUGUAGAGGUGAAAUUCGUAGAUAUUGGGUAGAACACCAGUGGCGAAGGCGGCUAUCUGGCUAUAUAUUGACACUGAGGCACGAAAGCAUGGGGAUCAAACAGGAUUAGAUACCCUGGUAGUCCAUGCCGUAAACGAUGAAUGCUGGUUGUCGGACGAAUGUUCGGUGACGAAGUUAACGCGAUAAGCAUUCCGCCUGGGGAGUACGGUCGCAAGAUUAAAAC